rnacentral:rRNA from 1 species
GAUGAACGCUGGCGGCGUGCCUAAUACAUGCCAGUCGAGCGAACAGACGAGGAGCUUGCUCCUCUGACGUUAGCGGCGGACGGGUGAGUAACACGUGGAUAACCUACCUAUAAGACUGGGAUAACUUCGGGAAAUCGGAGCUAAUACCGGAUAAUAUAUUGAACCGCAUGGUUCAAUAGUGAAAGACGGUUUUGCUGUCACUUAUAGAUGGAUCCGCGCCGCAUUAGCUAGUUGGUAAGGUAACGGCUUACCAAGGCAACGAUGCGUAGCCGACCUGAGAGGGUGAUCGGCCACACUGGAACUGAGACACGGUCCAGACUCCUACGGGAGGCAGCAGUAGGGAAUCUUCCGCAAUGGGCGAAAGCCUGACGGAGCAACGCCGCGUGAGUGAUGAAGGUCUUCGGAUCGUAAAACUCUGUUAUUAGGGAAGAACAAAUGUGUAAGUAACUAUGCACGUCUUGACGGUACCUAAUCAGAAAGCCACGGCUAACUACGUG